CUAAGACCCGACCGGCCUCUGGGGCAGUGUUUGGUGAAGUUAUCUCUGGAGGCUGCUGGAGGAUAAAUGUGGAGAUCUGCAGAUAGAAGCCAAGAAGAUGAACGGAGCUGGAGAGGAAGAAGAUCUACAGUGGUGUUCAAAAUAAUAGCAGUCCCACAUCACUUUAUCAGGACCGUCAGUGUUGAUUUAACUUAUUUCUAAAACAGCGGCGGACUACUUCCAGCUGCGGAGGGACACCCUUUUCCAGCUAGCUGCAAUCUGACGCAGUGACGCAGCAGAGUGCAACUGACCAGGGCGGAGGGAUACGUCAUUCUGCUGGGAGAAGAGACACAGCGAGGAGGUAAGUUAUCUUCUGAAAGUGCUUUUGAGUUUUUGUUGAUAAAAUUUAAUAACAAUGGCAGUUUCUUCUGUGAUAAAAUGGAAUAAAAUCAGCACAUUGACAGAGCUUUGCGAA